rnacentral:sRNA from 1 species
AUAUGGAUAGAAAACUUGUUAUUUAGGUCUUUUCAAAAUCCAUUGUUACCCUAACACUGUUAACAUAACUUUUUACGCAUGUAUCCUUACGUUAUUGUUUUUGUCAGUUGUAAAGUAUACGCGAAUUAUUGCAUGUUGUAGGAUUCUAAGAUUGUAGUGGAAUAUUGCGUUCGGGAGUUUUUU